UAGCACAACUCUGUAGCUCAGAUUCGGG
rnacentral:sRNA from 1 species